rnacentral:rRNA from 1 species
UACAGAGGGGGCAAGCGUUAUUCGGAAUUACUGGGCGUAAAGCGCACGUAGGCGGACCGGACAGUCAGAGGUGAAAUCCCAGGGCUCAACCUUGGAACUGCCUUUGAAACUAUCGGUCUGGAGUUCGAGAGAGGUGAGUGGAAUUCCGAGUGUAGAGGUGAAAUUCGUAGAUAUUCGGAGGAACACCAGUGGCGAAGGCGGCUCACUGGCUCGAUACUGACGCUGAGGUGCGAAAGCGUGGGGAGCAAACAGG